rfam:Clonorchis sinensis DNA, scaffold: 411, strain: Henan.
GCAUCGGUGGUUCAGUGGUAGAAUACUAGCCUGGCACGCGGGCGACCCGAGCUCGAUUCCCGGCCGAUACA